GCCCCUGUAGCUCUCAGUUGGUUAGAGCGCUGCACCGGAAUCGCAGGGCCGUAGGUUCAAUUCCUACCAGAGGAC